CUGUGCGUGUUUGGGGUCGAUCUUGCUGAAAUGUCCACCCUCAUCUGAUCUUCAUUAUCCUGGCAGAUGGCAGAUUUUUAUCAAGAAUGUCUCAGUACAUUUUACAUUCAUCCUUCUUCAAUUAUAUGAUGUUUGCCAAUGCCGAUGCUGAAAAACAGCCCCACAAC